GAACUAUUGGAGCAUCGAAUAAAAUGCUUUGCAGUAUUUGUUUCUGUUCUUUAGUUUGUGUUCAAAUCCUAUCAAGAACAACUUUGCCCCUCAACUUUUUGGGAUCAAUAAAAUAAAUUACCAUUCAGGCACAUGGAUUGAUGAUAUCAACUAACGCCCGCCCCUCAACAUUGCUCAGUUUGUACCUAAAUAAUAAGCCAUUAUUAUCAUUAUUAUUAUUAUUAUUAUUAUUAUUACCAGUGGAUUGUCAGAAUUGUUCAUUUUAGGAAAAGUGUACCUCAUGGUAUUUCUUCAACUUCUUUACAUUCUGAGCCCAGUCUGGCAAAAUUUCAGACUUUUUGCUUAUGUUAUAAACAGUUGUCAUAGUAGCAGCCAUAGUAGUAUAAUGUGGCAAAUUAGCAGAACAUAGAAUACUUUGAGUAUUUGCUGUGGCUCUCUGCACUAUGGGUUCAAAUCUCACUAUGAUCAGAUCGAUAAUAAUGUAUUAAUGGAAAACUGGUGCUCUCUUUCUCCCCCCCUUUCUCUCUCUCUCUCCUCUCUCUCUCUCUCCUCUCUCUCUCUCUCUCUCUCUCUUAAGGACACAGAACUGGCUGUGUCUUAGCUGAGAGUGGCACCACUCAUAAUUUCUUGUUUAGGCACCAAAUGCCUGCCUUUUUCAAAUUAAGUCUUUGAUUAGGAUUGGUAGAAGUAUUUGUUGCCAAUAGACCAAGCAACAAGCUUUAGACAUUGUUGGCAGAAUCAUUAGGACAUUGGACAAAUGCCUUGCAGUAGUGAAUUGGGGUCCAUUAUGUUUUGAGUUCAAAACCCACAGACUUUGCUUUUCCUCGUUUUGAGGAUCAAUACCAGGUGGAUCUUUGGGUUGAUAAAAUAGACUAACCCCACCUCCCACACACACACAUUUGUGGCCUUGUGCCUCUGUAUGAAAUUAUUAUUACUACUACAACUGUGUUGUGUGGUGGCAGAAACAGGAAUAUAAGACUAAGUGACUUUUUGUAUUUGGUUCCGUCCUGCUAAAUUGUAAGCUUAAAUCUCGUCAGUGCUGAUGUGUACCAGUCACAUCUUUGGGUUCAAUUAUAUUGGCUAUGUAUUUCAUUAACUUGUGGCAUUGUGUG